AUUGUGCCUGCCUCACCUCCCCACUCUCCCCGGCUAAUUACCAGAAACAUUUAUCGAGUGCCUAUGGCAUGUCAGGCACAGUUCAAGUUCUGAGGAUACAGAGUAAACAACAGGCAACAUCACGCCUCCUCGAGCUUCUGUUCUACUGGGAGUCAGGGUAGGAAGAGACGACAACAAGGUAAAUAAGUCAAAUCCGGACUGUGUUACUGACAAUGCAAGCUAGGAGAAAAAAGGAAGCAGGAGCAGAGAGGAGCCUGGGUGAUGAUGGAGAUGGGGAGUUUACUUAAAUAGGUGGCCAUGAGGCUAUCCAGCCUGUCCCAGGCGGACUUUUAGAAGACGGAUUGUUUAUAAGAGCCCAAAAGUAUAAGUUCUUAAAAAAAAUUAAUUUCUGAAUGUGUGAUGAGAACACAAAUUCCUCCACGACAGCCCUGUUUUUCCUGUGCUGCGUAGCUGAGCUCUGGGUCACGGCUGCCGAGUGCAGGCAACACUCGGGCAGUCCCAGGGCUGACCGACUGCGCAUCUGGACACUGGCAAUCACAGGGAAGGAGGCGAGAGCUCUGCCGGGUGCUUUGAGGCUGUCGCGUCAUGUCUUCCUCCCCACAGCGUUCUGCGGGGCCUGUCCCCUUGGUGUUGUGGCACCUCCUGGUCCUCGGCUCUGCUCUUGGGGAAGAAAGAGGACACUGUCACAGGUUCCUGUCCCCUCCAGCCAACAGGAGCAGCCACACGUGGCAUCUGCCCUCGAAGCUCUGUGGCAUCCCUGCCGUAGGAGAAGUUACCAAGAAACCCCCAGAGCCCACAGGCUGGAGCCCCCCCAGGUUCUGCUCAGCGGGGAGAGGCAGAUUGAGUCCAAAUUUUCCAUUUUAACUGGAAUCCUAGGGGUUAAACCUGGCUGUGACUUGGCAAUGGCCCCUUGUCCGUGCUGUUCCACAGGGGGUGUCCCCCUUCCCCAGGCCCUGCCCCAAUGUGGCUCCAGGGCCUCUGCUCCCAGCAGGUCUCACCUGGGACAGAGGUGGGGGUGGGGCAAGAGGAACCAAGCCAGGAAGCUGCAGAAAUAGCUCUGGGGGUGGGAGGGCGUGGUGCUGCCGAAGGCCGAACACCCACGCAGGGUGUUGUCUCUCCACCCUCCCAGGCCGAGGGGAUUUCUCAAACGCAGGCCUCCUUCCCAGGAGGUAGGCCUGUGUCCAGUGAGGGCCCUGCCCAUCCAGGCCUCUGUUUCCUGUCACUGUUCUCAAAAGCUGGGCCCAGCUGUGGCGGGGACAGCUAUGUCCGGCUGCCCGUGGUCCCUUGAGAACCGGCCAGGCUGCCCCUGUGCCUGGCACAUGCUCACCUGGACCCUCCAGCCAGCAUCUGGGCUCCAUCUGACCCCACCCCACAGGGCUCAAGCCAGCUCCAAGCAUGAGUGUGGCCGAGGCCAGGUCUGUCUUCAGGGUCCCUUCCUCAUCUCCACGGCCUUUUCCUGUCCCAGCUCACCCACAGGGGGCCAUUUCUGCCCCACACAGGACUCCCUGUGAACCAAGGCUGCACAUGCUUCUGGGUGCCCCUCUCUGGGCAGCUGGAGGGCAGAAGGAGCACCUGGCAGGUGGGUCCCAGGCCCGGCAGCAGGAGCUGCCUGCCAGACAGGACCAGAGGGGAUGGCAGUCCGCUCGGGUGAGGGGUCCACAGGCAGAGGGCGUGGGGGGCUAGGAGGUCUGGGGGCCUCUGGGGAAAGGGGGCCCCAGAAACCAAUGGGAAUUAUGGGAUCUCCUCAAAGAACAUGCUGGAGCAAGGCUCAGCUGCCCACUGCUGCCCCAAAAAGGCUCAGCUGCCCACUGCUGCCCCAACGGGAGUCACUGCUCACACAGAGACCGCUCCUUCCCCAGCCACUCCAGCCAGUGACUGGAUACGGUGCAGGCACUAGUCCCUAGAACCAGGCCAUUCCUGACCCACCAACUGCCCUGUAUGCAGGCCUCUCUCUGGGGCUUCUCAUCAGCCUAGCAGCACGGCUUUCUCAGGGCUUCCCUGGGUACGCACGUCCUCCUACCCAAUCCCCCUUCCCUCUCUCCCUGUCCCAGGUUCAGACCUGCAUCCUGGCUCGAGGCUGUCUCCCCAUCUGCCACAGGUGCUUCCCCCAACGGAUCUCUUGCCCCUCUCCUCCUGGCUUGGGGUCUGCUCACUGGAGGACCUGGAUGGACAUGACAGGGCUCAGACAGGACUUGGGAGGAGCUGUGAGCUCGCCAUCAGGGCCAGCCUUGAAGGACGGGUGUGGGCGUGUCCCCCAUCAGGAUCCCGCUGUGGGUCUCCUUCCUGCUGUGGGGGCUGAUGAAAGAUGCAGGCCAGACACCUGCACAUCUUUACCCUGUGCUCAGCAGCACCCCCUGACAGGGCACCCUCCCCACUACAUCCCCAUUCCAUUCCAAAGGAAGAGACCCUGAGGGUCUGGAAUGAAGAACCCCUUACCCCAGGUCAAACUGAUGUUGCUGGAAUCUUUGGUUGGGUCUCGACAUUACCCCAUAUGGGCAACAGAGAAGGACUGCCGAGAGCUGGGCAAGGCCCCAUGCCUGCUCCUCCUGCUUGUGCUCUCUAGAUCAGAGACCCUCCCAACCUCUCCCGUAGGGGCCUGACUCCUCCCUGGUAUGUCACCUUUGCUUGAUCUAGGCCUCUGGAGGGGCGGCAGCCUGUCUCCCCGCACCAGCUGGGGUUCUGGCCCUGGUGGUUGCUCACCACACCUCCGGGGGCUGCCACGCGGGGUCAUGUUGGUACCAAGGUUCUCUGUGGGGUGCAGGGAUGACCACUGGAGAAAAGGCCAGCCCUGCCUUCCGCUGCUGCCUCAGGCUGGUCCCCGUGCCUCGCUCAGGCGGGCCAGUGACCCUCCUCACCAGCCAUGGCUUCUCUUGUGACAGGCCCAACGGCAGGCCAGGUCCUGAACCCCGCAGGGAGGCCGGCCUAUCAGGUCUUCACAUGGCUGGGGGCACAGCCAGCCACCAGCAUCCUUGUGCUGUCCCCAUGGGGAAGAGAAGGGAACGAUGUGUUCAUAGACGCCAGGGCAAGUGGGCACGGGCAGCGCACGGAGGAAAAAGUGACUCCAAUCAGAAGGGGAGUGGGUCUUGGCAAUACACGUCUGGGUGGUCAGUCCCCAGAGGUGGGCACUGGGCUGAGCUCUCUCUCAUCCGACGCCACCCCUGGGUGACCUCCGUUACAUUUCCUAACCUCUUUGUGUGCCAAUCGCCUCGUCUGGAAAAAUGGGAAUGGAGGAGAGUUGUACCUACCCAGGGUGGUUCUGUGGGCAUUUAAAGAGCAACUUCAUGUGAGACGUGGAGUCCAUGUGUGGCCCAUGGUGGGCUCCAGGAAAUGUUGGUGAUGACAGGGAUGAGGGAGCAACUGAGAGCCGGCAGUGAGGUGACACACCCAAGGUCACGCCACCAGCAGAGGUAGCUGGUCACGCUGCUGAGAGCCGGCAGGAAAUAGAUGCGGACAAAGCAGGGUCGGUUUUCAGCUUCUCUCCACGGAAAGGCCGGCUGAAGUUUCCCUCACCACGCAGAAAUCGAUAAGCAGGAGGUUUUUAAAAACCACCUCCCCAUUGAACCUGCCACUGCCGGAGCUGAAGGCUGUGCGUUUUGUGGUCCGCUCUGCCCCAGGGCCACUUAGGGUGCGUCCACGCUGGGUGUGCCAGGCAUGCACGUGGGCUGCAGACGCCCAGGAGGCAGAGCCGAGCCUGCCAAGGUUAUGCGUGCACCUCUCAGCUCCCUGCUUAACACUGCGUUCCCGGGAGAGAGAUUUCUCCCUGGCUGCUUCACAUCCAGAGGAGAACAUCAGCUCUCAGCAGAACAUAAGGCAAGUGUGAAAACAACUUUUUAUCUUUUAAAAUUUUUGUUUAUAUUUAUGUAUUUAUUUUUUGAAAUGGAGUUUCGCUCCUGCUGCCCAGGCGGGAGUGCAAUGGCGCCAUCUCAGCUCACCACAACCUCUGCCUCUCAGGUUCAAGCAAUUCUCCUGCCUCAGCCUCCCGAGUAGCUGGGAUUACAGGCAUGCACCACCACACCCGGCUACUUUUGUAGCUUUAGUAGAGACAGGGUUUCUCCAUGUUGAGGCUGGUCUCGAACUCCUGGCCUCAGGUGAUCCGCCCGCCUCAGCCUCCCAAAGUGCUGGGAUUACAGGUGUGAGCCACUGCACCCGGUGAAAACAGCUUUUUAUGCCAACUGGGGCUCACUUCCAGGGGAGGCCUUUCCUGGAGGCCCCCAUUCACUGCAAUUCCUCAGCCUGGCUUGGAGUCAUACCAUCCCUCCUAUCAAGAAACAUUGCAUCUGCAGCGAUCCCCCAGAGUGAGUGGCUGGGGGGCUGCGGGAGGAGCAGGGGAGGUGCUGGAACACGUCAGGUCAUCAGCAGUGUUGCUGAAAAGCUUGGCCAGGAAACCCAGAUCAGCCACCAAGAACCUGAGGGCCAGCACAUGGGAAGAAGAAAAAUAAGGUGGUUUUUCUGGGAUUUUUGGGAAUAUUUGGGCCUCGACCCUGCCAGGAUAGGUUAGGUGGUGCAAUGGUCACAAGCCCCAAGUCUUUGUGGCUGAUAGCAACAGAAGCUUCUUUCUUGCCCACAGUAAGCAUCCGUCGUGGUUGGCAGGAGACUGAUCGUGGUCAUCUAUCCAGGACUGGGUUGACAGGAAGCCACCAUCUUAGACUGUCAGCUUCCAUUUCAGAGGGAAGGAGCCCUGUGGACGUUCUCACACCAGCAUUCAGAAGCUCUUGCUGGGAAGUGUCACAAGUCACCUGUGCUCCCUGGCUAGGAGUAGUCCGUUGGCCACCCAAACACCUGGGGGCUGGCCAGGAAGGCAGUCACACAGGGGCCCACCAUGGGUCUGCCCAGUUCUCAGGCACCAGACCACACCCAAGCAGGACCCCUCCUCCCCUGCUUCCCCCUCCUGUCCCCACCAAAGCCACAUGGCAGGCAGAUCACAUGUCACAGAGCUCAGGGCCAGGCCUGCCCAGAUCCUGAGGCUGGGCCACCCCUGAGAGCUUCCUAUGUGAGAUGUCCACUUUUUUACAUUUAAAUUUUACUUUUAAAAUUCUAAAUUGAUAAAUUACAGUUGUAUGUAUUUAUGGGUACAAAGUGAUGUGAUGACUGAUGAAUACAACGUAGAAAAUUAAAUCAAGUAAUUAACAUA